rnacentral:rRNA from 1 species
UCCGGAGGGGGCUAGCGUUGUUCGGAAUUACUGGGCGUAAAGCGCACGUAGGCGGCUUUGUAAGUUAGAGGUGAAAGCCCGGGGCUCAACUCCGGAAUUGCCUUUAAGACUGCAUCGCUAGAAUUGUGGAGAGGUAAGUGGAAUUCCGAGUGUAGAGGUGAAAUUCGUAGAUAUUCGGAAGAACACCAGUGGCGAAGGCGACUUACUGGACACAUAUUGACGCUGAGGUGCGAAAGCGUGGGGAGCAAACAGG